CUCAGGUAUUGAUCAGCAGUGAUAUAGACUCAGGUAUUGAUCAGCAGUGAUAUAGACUCAGGUAUUGAUCAGCAGUGAUAUAGACUCAGGUAUUGAUCAGCAGUGAUAUAGACUCAGGUAUUGAUCAGCAGUGAUAUAGACUCAGGUAUUGAUCAGCAGUGAUAUAGACUCAGGUAUUGAUCAGCAGUGAUAUAGACUCAGGUAUUGAUCAGCAGUGAUAUAGACUCAGGUAUUGAUCAGCAGUGAUAUAGACUCAGGUAUUGAUCAGCAGUGAU